UAAUCAAUGUAGAAAAGUUAUGAAGGUGACACUCUUUAGGAGGAGGUGCAUAUGAUUGUAUGUACUGAAUCUAACGAAAGGAGAAGUCUUUUGGCUGCAUUAGAAACAAUUCAAUUGAUUCUAAGCUUUGGUAUGUUUACCAUUGCGUUCGUUA
rnacentral:sRNA from 1 species